AAGUGCGGUGCGAACACAAUCGAGGGGGGAUGGAUGGUGCGCUGCGGGCAAAAAUCCUGGCGAACCUUUCUCGAGAGCCCCGGCAGCCCCUCUCUGCCCGCCCGCUCCUCCGAGGGCUCACGGGGACAGCGGGGCAAGCGGUGCGGCGAACGCGCUGCCGGAGACGGCACUCUUCCUCCCUCUGUUUUGUGCGCGGUUUGUUGGUGGUGGUUGGUUGUUGUUUGUUUUUAAUCCUCUUAGGCUGUGUGGAUAGUAGGAUAUGUAUGGCCUCGAGUGUUGGGAAAAGCUUGUUGCCGAGCUCUGGGAGAGUGAGUGAGAGAAGGAGCGACGCAAAGAGCUCUGCCUGGAUGGAACAGCAUCAGCCAGCGCCCUGCCCCGCCGGCUGGAGGGGCAAGCGAAACCCCACGCCGAACACACACAUACACACACACACUCCACGCACGCAAACGCGGGGGGAGGGUGACGUCACUCCGCUCCGGCCCGGGGCGCAUCCCGGCGGGCAGCGGGCGGGGCAGGAUCGGGCCGGGUUGCUCCUGGCUGUCCUGGCCGGACGACUUCGGCAAGUCGUGAUGCUCGUCAUCUCCCUCCCUCAAAACUUCCUUCGGGAAGGAGGAACUGAGAGAAUGUUCUUGAGAGGUUGUGACAAAGUUCAUGAAGACAAAGAAAAGGUCUCGUGGUCUUUGUCCCACUGUCACAAGAUGAUUCAAGCUGUGGGAUAAAUGAUCCAAGUGAUGUGAACAGAGCACUAUCCACCAUGAUGUAGCAAACUAAAAGAUCCUGGAGGCACUUAAAAUAAAAAGGAUGAACCUCCUUCACCGCCCCUUCACCCCAUCAAAAAACAUUGGAAAAGUGAGAAAGAAGAGCUGCUUCUCCACAAAGAUAAAAAGAAGCUUUUUACUAUAAAAAGGUAAAAGAAUAUGAAUUAAUACAAUAUAAAAGGUCUCAUGAGCAGUAAAUUAAACAAAUGGGAAAUAAAUCUAACUAUGUACUGCAAGCUCAGCAGCAUGGAGUAAAAUAAAGAAUGAUGUACACACAUCACCACAUCACUUUGUAUCUCCCUCUUGGAAAUAACAUGGAAGAGACAUAAGCAUUCUGGGGUCUGUAGUCCUCUCUUAGCAGCUGUCAGAUCAUUGCAGAAUGUCAUGAUAUAAUAUACCUAAGGAAAACCGUGACACAACUACAAUAUUUCUGCCACAUUACAUGUAUAUAUGAAUGUUCUUUCAACUGAAAAUUAGUCAGUAUUGAAAAUACUAUAGAUUACAAAUUGUUAUUAAACUAUCAAUAAAACCAAAUGUAAGCUGGACAAAAAGAAAAAAAGAAUGUUUAUAAAAAUAAUGUAAGAUGAAUCUCUAAGCUGAAUCUCUCUGCUGUGUAUUCUCCCUGUACCUCACAGAAAAAUAACUGUAUUCUAUAUUUCACCAUACAACACUGAAUAAAUCUAGUUUAACAAUGAGAACACCAGCUGUAAGUACAAAAACAAAAACAAAAUCUGACAAACAAAAAAUGUAAUAAACUUAAUUUAGGUUCUCAUUUCCUACAAUGCUAACAGAGUGCUAAUAGAGAGUGUCUUUAAUCAGCUUGUAUAUUUUGUCUGGGUUUCUUCAUGAAUAAAAAGUUAGAGUCAGUGAUUUAUCAAGCUAACAUAUAUUUACCAUUUUUUCUUCUGCACAGUAAAAGCUUUGUAUUUCAAGGCUUCACAAGAAUUUUACAUUUUAGUAUUAAGCAAGCUCAGCAGGGAGACCUUUGCAGAGCGGAUAACAUUUCAGGAAAAUUAUUAUAUAUAGCACAAUUAUAGAGCUGAGCAAAUAGCUGAUUUCUUGGUUCACUGACAAUUCAGAAAAGAGGAAUUCAGCCAACAUAAGGUGAAUUUUAAUCCAUUCUCCAUCUCAAGAAAUAAAUCAAAGAAGAAUUUUUUUGAAUGAUACAAAAUGUUUGCUAUUUCAAACCCAGGAAUUUAUAAAGCCUCAGAAUGAGAAAAGAAAUAUAAAGCCAAAAUGUCAAUUUCAGUAUUUAAUUCAAAAUAAUAUCAGUUUUCCAGUUUCUGUCAUGAGCUAUUUUCUCAAACAUUCAACCGGACAAAAUAUUUUCAUGUUCACAACUCUUGUUUUUCAUCGAAGAAGAUACAGCACUGCUGAAAAUUAUUUUCCAUAUCUGCUAUAACUGUGGGUACAAAACUGGAUUACAAAUCUUCAGGUAUAUUAUACUUCAUAUGUAUUUAGUAAGUGAAGUCUUACCCAAAAACUUUUUUUUUUUUUUUAAUUUUUUAAAUUUUUUUAUUUUUUUAGGGAAUCCCAAUCUUAAUCUUUUUUUUUAAUAAAUCUCCUUUUGGACUAGAUGUUUCUGCAUUAGGAUUUCCUUUCAUUGAUCCAGUUUAGGACGGGCUCUAACAAUCUAUUUGCAUGCUGUAAGGAGUAACAAUUAUCUCUCAGUCUUUUUCAAGACUGACAUUUGCCAGUAGAAUGUGAUAAGAAGAAACAUGUAAAACCUUUCACACUCAUUUUGAUUUGAAAGCAAUAUACUUUUCUUAGGAUGUUACUUACUUGUUCACAAUGAAGUAAUAGUAAUAUCCUGUAGCACUACAGGAUGUUCAAAAGCUUUGAAAAGGAUUGCUUAUAUCACUAACAUCUGGUGGAAUUCAAGUGGAUUCUUUAUACCAUCUUUCAGGAGCUCAAUAGUAGCUGCUGGAAACUCAUUUCAGACAAAUGUGCAAUGUUUGCAAUGAAUUUGUCUCCAAUUUUGAGAUUAUCUGCAUGCAUUCAGUACUGUGGAAAGAUUUAAUGCUUUAAGAUAUUAGAUGAUUCUAAGGGUAAAAAUAAGAAAGAAAUUGCAAUCUAAAGACUGCACUAUUGAGUGAUUUGCUUAUUUGUAGAUAUAAGGUCAGUUGGAUAAUGAAUUUCCUACUACAAUUCUCUUAUGUAGGUGAAUGAAGAACUUGUUGCUGCAGCAGGAAACCUCCACACAACAUGACUUGACAAUUCUUAUUGUAUUUUGUUUCAAUUUAAAUUGUUUGUUCAGUGUAUUGGAUUAUAAAGUAAAAUACCUAUGUACAAGACUGUAGCACAACAGUUUUGUAAACUGAGAAAUGAGAAUUGGUCGCAUAGAUGACCACAGCAAUUCUGAACAAUUGUCUACAAAAUCUUGUAUUCCAAGUCUCACAUAUAGUUACCAGAAAAAAACUUAUUUCAGAAGAGACCUAUAAAAUCUGAUGGGAUUGAGGAAAAAAUAUCACAAAAAUAUUUUAUUCUAUAACUAUGAAAUAAAUAAUUGACAUAUUCUGAAAAUGAAGAUACACAUUGUAAAAAAAAUCAUUUAUUAGUCACAUAUUCUUCAUAAACACAUCUACUUUUAGAAAGCGAUUUAAGCAAUACUUUUUCCUUAAUAUGAAAAAUAAAUGAAAAUGAAUUUAGACUUACAUUCUGCAUAUUAGAUAGAUUAGAUAUCUGUGUAUUUAGAGGUUAGGAUGAAUGCAUAGAUAUUUCAUCAGUUUCUUUUUCUUUAUUAUUUAAUUGGCUAUCCUUUAAAUUGUUGUGUAAAUUAAUAUGUUAACAUUCUGUGUAAAAUAUAUAUAUAUAUUUUCACAAUGAUAACACAUUAGUCAUAUAGAUAGUACUUUUAUAAAUGAGGAAUUUCUCAGAACAACUUCCUCUGAAAUUCAUUCAAUACUGAUAAACUUGUCAGUCUAUUUGGUACAGAAAUCUUAGUGCAUUUGCAAUUAUUUCUAGUUCUUUUCUAAAUUUAUUUAUUUAUGUAUAACUUUAAACUUAGAUUUUAAAGCUUAGAAACAUGUUCUGUGUUUCCAAGUCCCCAUUAUUUUCUUCUAUCCUUUAUUAAUAAACCUUAAGUUUUUAUAACCUUUUGAGGGUUAUUUCUGCCCAUGAUGACAGAAUGAGUUUGUUCACAUAAAACCAAGUUAGACUAAAACUGAUAAAAUGUUCAGUAUUUACAGUGGUUUACAUAAUGUUUAAUAGACAUUUAAUUAAUAGGCAUUUAAAUCUGAACAGUCUGAUUCACAAAUUUUCCAUGACAGUAGUAACAAUUCAUUAUUUCAUAUGCAAUGACAGUAUGCUUAAUCCUUGUAAGGCAUGUUAAGAAAUCCUAGUGAGUUUCAAGCCAAAUGCAUUUUGAAAGAAGGGAAUUAUAGGAUUCUGAUGCCUUUGUGAAAACCUUCAGUAGUUUUCCUACUGUCUAUAAAGUUGCAGAGGAUAAAUUCAAUUUUAAAAAAUUCAAAAUGAUAUCUCAGUCUUAUGUUAAUGACACAGUCUAAAUAAAUACUGGUUCAGGAAGUGGUUGAAUAGAAGUUCUGCUCUAGGAAGUCAAAACUGGUUCUUUGUAUACUGACAAGAUGUUCUGAAGGAAAGAUUUCAGAAUUAUGUUCUUUUCCAAUCAAAGCAGAAAAAAAAAAUCUCUUAUGUUCUUCUUACACUUUCUUCAUAAUUUUGCAACAUAAUAUGUUUUCUAUGCAGAAAUUGAAAAAUUAUGAUGUGGAAAACAGAAUGUGUUGAAUACUUAAUACAUAAUUUUCACGUAGAAAGAAACAGAUAAAUUCAUUUUAUCUCAGUUUGUCCUUGACUGUGCUCAAAUUUGACUAGCGUCUGUUCUGAUAUUGAUGUAGCAAAACUGAACUUUCAUGACAAAAUCACUUAAGUCACACCCAAUAUUAUUGUCACCAUUACUCUUAAAUAAUUCUAAAUCAGAAUAGGUCAUCUAGCCUAAUACAUAGGCAUUCAUCCAAUGACAGAUGGUGGUGUCACUAACAUAAAAUGGUCUCCAAACAUGAAAGUAAAUAGACUUCUCAGGGGAAAUAUUUUAAUUAGAAAUGUUUUAUCUUGCAACAUCAACAAAUACAUGGGCAAACUACUGGCAUUAUACAGAAUAAACUUUGUCUAUGCAAAAGAUUUCAAGCAAAAUAAUGAAGAAAAUGUAAAAAAUGAACUACAUAACUGAAUGCACUGAGGAUUUACAAAUUCUUAGAGUUAUAAAUGCAAUUUUGAACAGUUUUUAACUGUUUUCAACCAACAUGCUCAAAAGCAUUUGUCAGUGAGAACUAUUACGAAUUUUCAAGUGAUUUGCAACUUCAGAAUUUAUAGUUCAACUGUGAACAUUGAUAUUAUGACAUAAUCACAGCUUUAGCUAUACUCAAAUUUUCGUUGGUUUCAGGAAUUUUUAAACAGACCAUCAUAUUCAUUUCAGUGAUUGAAGUAAAAUGUUAUGAAUAAUUAUCACUUGUGGCAUAGCUGAAAAUGUGGAAGUAGAAACAGAUCUUAUGUUCAGAGAUUCCUCAGACCCUAGCCUGCCAAAAACCUAAAAAAAAACCGAUUGCCUUCAUCUUCACACACAAAUAAACAUGAUCACUGAGCAUACAUUAACUUCAAAUAAACAAAAAUAAGUGGGAAAAUAGACUAAUUUGGUAAUGAUCUUUAGUUUUGGAUGAUAACUUUUUGGAUGAUCAUAUGAGCUGGCUGAAUUGGCUUGUCAGGUAUGUACGGAAUAGUGGUAGGCAGAAGAAUAAGGAGAAAGUGAGAUGUAAUACUGCAAGUUUAAAUUAGAUUUGUAGAUUGCUGCUGAAAUUCAAAAAGGAAAGGAAACGUAGAUAUUGUUCCUAAAACAUUUCAAUGUUCCCAAAGGGUUCCUCUGUGAUAAUUUUCCUUAUAAAUAAAAAAUGUUUUUUUGUCCACAAGCAAGGUACACAUCUUAAGCAGUAUCAGAACAUAGAAAUAUUCCUUGUACUCAGAUGUCACAGACUAACAAUUUAUGCACAUCUUGUCACUCAGCACAUUUUUCUAUAAAUAUUAUUACAAAUAUGAACAGAGCAGUGUUGUCCUCGUUAGAAUCAGCAGUGUGGGUUCUGGAAAUAGAUAAAGAAAAAGCAGUAAUAUGAUUAAAAAUGUAUUUUUGUUUAGUUGUGUAUCAGAGACACAUGUGUAGAGGUCUAAAGUAGUUGAACCCCUUCUGAGAAGAGUCUGAGUUGGAGAACAUGUGAGCAAGUGAGUAUGAAGUAGUGGACAGGAGGCAGCUUGUAGAGUCUAUACAAUAGCCUUGAGAGGAGCUUGUACUUGCACCAGCAUUCCCAUAGUGCUACAGACUUCAAGUAUUACUCUUGGUAUUAUUUACUCUCAGUAAAGCAUGCAUCAGUGCAAGAUUUGAAGAAGUAUUAAUUCAGUUAGUAAAACACUUCAAAAAUUAUUUCCUGGUGAAUAUUGUCCUUUCCUAUCCAAAUAUCUAUUUGAAAAUAAAUAUUAAAGGACAUAAGUU